rnacentral:rRNA from 1 species
GACGAACGCUGGCGGCGUGCCUAAUACAUGCAAGUCGAACGCAGUGGGGACGGGUGAGUAACACGUUGGUAACCUCCCAUCAGAGGGGAUAACACUUGGAAACAGGUGCUAAACCGAUACGGUUUGAUUGACACGCUGUGCAUGAGGUACUUGGUGGGGUGACGGCUAACGAAGGCCACGAUGAAUAGCCGAGCUUAGAGGGUGUUCGGCCACACGGGGACGGGGACACUGCCCAUGCUCCUACGGGAGGCAGCGGUAGGGAAUCUUUGGCAAUGGACGAAAGUCUGACCGAGAAACGCCGCGUGAGUGAAGAAGGUUUUCGGAUCGUAAAACUCUGUUGUUAGAGAAGCGGUAUCUAACCAGAAAGCCACGACUAACUACGUGCCAGCAGCCGCGGUAAUUC